AAAGACAAGACUUUAUUGAGCACAAGGUCACCUUCUCAGAACACACGAGGCUUGACCUUCUUAUCGAAUGCUUUCUUCAUUCUCUACUAAUAUAACUGACCAUGGCACAUGGCAGUUAAUCUCUUCUCUUCGAUCAAAUUCAUUUGGUCGUAACGACUCUGAAUCCAUUCAGCAUCAGUCAACUUAGGGUUUGAGGGGGUUUUCUUCUUUUAUUUUUUGUUUGAUUUUUUUUUUGAUUUGUUUUGAUUUUGAUUUUGAUUUUCACCCUCUUUUUUUUUGUAAUGCCCCAGUUUGACUGUUUUGCUGAUUCUCAAGAUACAGCUGAAUGAUCUUCUCUUUGUGCUCAAGAAGACGGGUAAUCUUGUCAGGAAUCUUGUCAACAUCAUCUUCCUCUGCUUUGAAUACAGGGAAUUCAAAAUUGGGAGAUGGCGUUGGAUCAUUAUGUUCAAUGGGUUUAAGAAUCAACCUGCAUAAUGAUUUUGGAUAUAAA
rnacentral:lncRNA from 1 species